rnacentral:piRNA from 1 species
AUGAUAUCAGAAUUUUAUUUUCCAGUCUGC